rnacentral:rRNA from 1 species
CUUCCAGACUCCUACGGGAGGCAGCAGUGAGGAAUAUUGGUCAAUGGCCGAGAGGCUGAACCAGCCAAGUCGCGUGAGGGAAGACGGCCCUACGGGUUGUAAACCUCUUUUGUCGGGGAGCAAAGCGAACCACGUGUGGUUCAUUGAGAGUACCCGAAGAAAAAGCAUCGGCUAACUCCGUGCCAGCAGCCGCGGUAAUACGGAGGAUGCGAGCGUUAUCCGGAUUUAUUGGGUUUAAAGGGUGCGUAGGCGGACAGUCAAGUCAGCGGUAAAAAUUCGGGGCUCAACCCCGUCCGGCCGUUGAAACUGGGGGCCUUGAGUGGGCGAGAAGAAGGCGGAAUGCGUGGUGUAGCGGUGAAAUGCAUAGAUAUCACGCAGAACCCCGAUUGCGAAGGCAGCCUUCCGGCGCCCUACUGACGCUGAGGCACGAAAGUGCGGGGAUCGAACAGGAUUAGAUACCCUGGUA